CACGUAGGGCGCAAGCGUUGUCCGGAAUUAUUGGGCGUAAAGAGCUCGUAGGCGGUCUGUUGCGUCCGCUGUGAAAACUCGGGGCUUAACCCCGAGCCUGCAGUGGAUACGGGCAGACUAGAGGUAGGUAGGGGAGAAUGGAAUUCCCGGUGUAGCGGUGAAAUGCGCAGAUAUCAGGAGGAACACCGGUGGCGAAGGCGGGUCUCUGGGCCGUAACUGACGCUGGAGGAGCGAAAGCGUGGGGAGCGAACAGG
rnacentral:rRNA from 1 species